AGUGAACGCUGGCGGUAGGCCUAACACAUGCAAGUCGAACGGCAGCACAGUAAGAGCUUGCUCUUACGGGUGGCGAGUGGCGGACGGGUGAGGAAUACAUCGGAAUCUACUUUUUCGUGGGGGAUAACGUAGGGAAACUUACGCUAAUACCGCAUACGACCUACGGGUGAAAGCAGGGGAUCUUCGGACCUUGCGCGAUUGAAUGAGCCGAUGUCGGAUUAGCUAGUUGGCGGGGUAAAGGCCAACCAAGGCGACGAUCCGUUACUGGACUGAGAGGAUAGUCAGCCACACUGGAACGGAAGCACGCUCCAGACGCCUACGGGAGGCAGCAGUCGGGAAUAUUGGGCUAUGGGCGCAAGCCUGAUCCAGCCAUACCGCGUGGGUGAAAGAGGCCUUCGGGUUGUAAAGCCCUUUUGUUGGGAAAGAAAAGCAGCAGGUUAAUACCCCGCUGUUCUGACGGUACCCAAAGAAUAAGCACCGGCUAACUUCGUG
rnacentral:rRNA from 1 species